rnacentral:rRNA from 1 species
AAAUUGAAGAGUUUGAUCAUGGCUCAGAUUGAACGCUGGCGGCAGGCCUAACACAUGCAAGUCGAACGGUAACAGGAAGAAGCUUGCUUCUUUGCUGACGAGUGGCGGACGGGUGAGUAAUGUCUGGGAAACUGCCUGAUGGAGGGGGAUAACUACUGGAAACGGUAGCUAAUACCGCAUAACGUCGCAAGACCAAAGAGGGGGACCUUCGGGCCUCUUGCCAUCGGAUGUGCCCAGAUGGGAUUAGCUAGUAGGUGGGGUAACGGCUCACCUAGGCGACGAUCCCUAGCUGGUCUGAGAGGAUGACCAGCCACACUGGAACUGAGACACGGUCCAGACUCCUACGGGAGGCAGCAGUGGGGAAUAUUGCACAAUGGGCGCAAGCCUGAUGCAGCCAUGCCGCGUGUAUGAAGAAGGCCUUCGGGUUGUAAAGUACUUUCAGCGGGGAGGAAGGGAGUAAAGUUAAUACCUUUGCUCAUUGACGUUACCCGCAGAAGAAGCACCGGCUAACUCCGUGCCAGCAGCCGCGGUAAUACGGAGGGUGCAAGCGUUAAUCGGAAUUACUGGGCGUAAAGCGCACGCAGGCGGUUUGUUAAGUCAGAUGUGAAAUCCCCGGGCUCAACCUGGGAACUGCAUCUGAUACUGGCAAGCUUGAGUCUCGUAGAGGGGGGUAGAAUUCCAGGUGUAGCGGUGAAAUGCGUAGAGAUCUGGAGGAAUACCGGUGGCGAAGGCGGCCCCCUGGACGAAGACUGACGCUCAGGUGCGAAAGCGUGGGGAGCAAACAGGAUUAGAUACCCUGGUAGUCCACGCCGUAAACGAUGUCGACUUGGAGGUUGUGCCCUUGAGGCGUGGCUUCCGGAGCUAACGCGUUAAGUCGACCGCCUGGGGAGUACGGCCGCAAGGUUAAAACUCAAAUGAAUUGACGGGGGCCCGCACAAGCGGUGGAGCAUGUGGUUUAAUUCGAUGCAACGCGAAGAACCUUACCUGGUCUUGACAUCCACAGAACCCUGUAGAGAUGCGGGGGUGCCUUCGGGAACUGUGAGACAGGUGCUGCAUGGCUGUCGUCAGCUCGUGUUGUGAAAUGUUGGGUUAAGUCCCGCAACGAGCGCAACCCUUAUCCUUUGUUGCCAGCGGUCCGGCCGGGAACUCAAAGGAGACUGCCAGUGAUAAACUGGAGGAAGGUGGGGAUGACGUCAAGUCAUCAUGGCCCUUACGACCAGGGCUACACACGUGCUACAAUGGCGCAUACAAAGAGAAGCGACCUCGCGAGAGCAAGCGGACCUCAUAAAGUGCGUCGUAGUCCGGAUUGGAGUCUGCAACUCGACUCCAUGAAGUCGGAAUCGCUAGUAAUCGUGGAUCAGAAUGCCACGGUGAAUACGUUCCCGGGCCUUGUACACACCGCCCGUCACACCAUGGGAGUGGGUUGCAAAAGAAGUAGGUAGCUUAACCUUCGGGAGGGCGCUUACCACUUUGUGAUUCAUGACUGGGGUGAAGUCGUAACAAGGUAACCGUAGGGGAACCUGCGGUUGGAUCACCUCCUUACCUUAAAGAAGC